GAUGAACGCUGGCGGCGUGCUUAACACAUGCAAGUCGAACGAAGUGGCGGAUGGGCGAGUAACACGUGAGGAACCUGCCUUUCACAGGGGAAUUACACUGGGAAACCAGUUCUAAUACCGCAUAGUGAAAGAUGGCCUCGCGCAUGAUUAGCUAGUGGGUGAGGUAACGGCCCACCUAGGUGAUGAGCCGUUGCCGAACGGGAGGUGGAUCGGCCGCAUUGGUACUGGGAGACGGCCGAGGCUCCUACGGGAGGCAGCAGUGGGGAAUAUUGGGCAAUGGCGCAAGCCUGAACCAGCAACGCGGCGUGAAGGAAGACGGUCUUCGGAUUGUAAACUUCUUUAGACAGGGACGCGGUACCUGUAGAAUAAGCCACGGCUAACUACGUGCCAGCAGCCGCGGUAAUUC
rnacentral:rRNA from 1 species